CCCGUGACCUGAGGUCAUCGCUCAGGAAACACUCAUCUGACGUGGAACUAUUGUGUGUGUGUCUCACAGGAGGAAAUAGUUCCCGAGCGCCGCACGUUUCCAGGGGGAACCUUUAUAGGGGGCGGCACCUGAGCGGGUCAGAGGUCACGUCAGUCUGUGACUGUGAAGAAUGACGGGCUAUAAACGAGCCGCUGAUUAAAUGUGACACAAAGCUCACAGUCGUCACCAGGGCUGUCUGAAGCGAGCGAGUCUGUGAGGAACCAGGAUCUGUGUUCAGUCUGCUGAGUGACGUCUGAGGGGCGGGGCGUCGCUCACGGCAACCUGUGGCUAUGUGUGACAUCACAGCGAUGCUCCUUAAAGGGCCGGCGAAGCACCUGCUCCGACAGAGACCCGUCCUGAAGCCUACAGGACAGAAUCAUAACACUGGACUGCUAGCUGGUUAGAUUUCUCUCGAACAAGGAUGUUUUUUUCAUCUCCUCUGAACUUCGGCUCCUCUCUUCAUCUCACUCGCCUCCUGCUCCUCAUCAUCGCUGUGGCAACACAGGUGGAGGGACGGCCGUCACCACGGCGACCAGACACUCAGGUUCUGCAGGAUCUGUUCGGGCUGAAGAUCAGCUCUCUGGUACUGGCUCACCCAGAGGUCAGUGAGGGGUCAGCAGAUGAAGCCCCGCCCCUCUCACAGCCGCGUCAUGCUAACGCCGCUCCGUCACGCGUGUUCCUGGAGCUGCUGGGCCGUCACAGGAAGCUGCAGGGGCGGAGCAGGAAGGGCGUGGCGCGCGGCUGCUUCGGGAUGAAGGUGGACCGGAUCGGGGUCAUCAGUGGACUGGGAUGCUGACGCUCUCAGGUGAUCGAGACCUUCACCUGAGCAUCACAGAUCCAGCUCUUCUCCUGAUGUGUGUGUUGACUGUCCGAUCAUUGUUCCUGUCCAGACGGAUGCGACGAGACCGACUCUGCAGAACACACACCUUCAUGUGUUUGUCUUCUAAAGAUCCUGAGGUCUUCUCAGCAGUGUGUGUGUGUGUGUGUGUGUGUGUGUGUCUCUCUCUCUCUCUCUCUCUCUGUGUGUGUGUGUCUCUCUCUGUGUGUGUGUGUGUGUGUGUGUGUGUGACCUCUGGCUGAUUGUCCGGUCAGUUUUGUCUUCUGUGUCUGACGUGACAGAGCUUCUGUUCAGUUUGUGAGUGGGAACUUUUUCUCAAUAUUUAACACAAGUUUAAACUUGUUUGUGUGUCCUCCAUAAAUAUUAUUUAACAUCUAAAUCUGA